UGAUGUAGAGGUGGCCUUGGUGGGCAAACC
rnacentral:piRNA from 1 species